CUGUUUACAUUGUACAUACAUUUGUCUGUCAUUGCACUUUGGGUGUGCUGACCGGUAAUUUCCUCAAAUAUGGAAAACUGGAGGGCAUGAUUUUUGGUAGAGGGGGACUGCAUCUGUACUCGCCACUA
rnacentral:snRNA from 1 species